rnacentral:misc_RNA from 1 species
GAUGAAGAACGUAGCAAAAUGCGAUAAGUAAUGUGAAUUGCAGAAUUCAGUGAAUCAUCGAAUCUUUGAACGCACAUUGCGCCCGCUGGUAUUCCGGCGGGCACGCCUGUUCGAGCGUCAUUUCAACCCUCAAGCCCCCGGGUUUGGUGUUGGGGAUCGGCUCUGCCCUUCUGGGCGGUGCCGCCCCCGAAAUACAUUGGCGGUCUCGCUGCAGCCUCCAUUGCGUAGUAGCUAACACCUCGCAACUGGAACGCGGCGCGGCCAUGCCGUAAAACCCCAACUUCUGAAUGUUGACCUCGGAUCAGGUAGGAAUACCCGCUGAACUUAAGCAUAUCAAUAAGCGGAGGA